UAUUGCUCUUGAACGAGGAAUCCCUAGUAAGUACAAGUCACUAGCUUGUGCUGAUUACGUCCCUGCCCUUUGUACACACCGCCCGUCGCUACUACCGAUUGAAUGGCUUAGUGAGGCCUUCGGAUUGAAAUUCGGAGACUGGCAACAGACUCUUGGUUUUGAAAAGUUGGACAAACUUGGUCAUUUAGAGGAAGUAAAAGUCGUAACAAGGUUUCCGUAGGUGAACCUGCGGAAGGAUCAUUACCGAUUUUUAGCGGACCUGAUCUUUGAUCAUGGUCUCGCGAAAACUUGUAUUUAAAACCCCACUCUUAUAAAUUGAAUCAUUUUAUAUUAUGUAUGUAAUAAAUAAAGAUCACUUUCAACAACGGAUCUCUUGGCUCUCGCAUCGAUGGAGAACAUAGCGAAGUGCGAUAAGUAAUGUGAAUUGCAGAAUUCCGUGAAUCAUCGAAUCUUUGAACGCAAAUUGCACUCUCUGGUAACCCGGGGAGUAUGCCUGUUUGAGGGUCAGUGUUAAUAAAAAUCGGUGCGUUGCAAUUUUUGUGAUGUUCCGGAGUUUGAGUUAUCUUAUCUUUUGAGUUUAAGAGGCUUAAAAUUGACCUUUUUUGUGCAUUUUAGACGUACAUAAAUUUUUUUUUUAUUCGUUUAUCUUAAUGCCAAAAUCUAUUAGAUGCGACCAUAUCAUGUGGUUCCGCGUCUAUAAAUUUUUCAUGAUUUGACCUCAAAUCAGGUAGGAACACCCGCUGAACUUAAGCAUAUCAAUAAGCGGAGGAAAAGAAAAUAACAAUGAUUCCCCUAGUAACUGCGAGUGAAGAGGGACAAGCUCAAAUUUUAAAUCUAUCGGGUUUUACCUGAUCGAGUUGUAAUUUGAAAGAUGGCGUUUUCUGUGUUUCUGAUCAGUCCCAGGUCCUUUGGGAUAAGGCAUCAUGGAGGGUGAGAAUCCCGUUCGGUUGAUCAGAUUCCGCUUUACGAUACGUUAUCCAAGAGUCAAGUGUUUGGGAUUGCAGCCUAAAAUGGGGAGGUAAUUUCCUCCUUAGGCUACAUAACUGGCGAGGAGACCCGACUAGCGAACAGGUACCCGUGGAGUAAGAAUGGAAAAGAACUUGAAAGAAGUUAAACGUACUGCAUGUGAAGGUAACGAUUGAAGCCAGUCCGUUACCCUCCGUUAAUACUAGCCUUUUGGGUGUGAUUUUGUGGAGCGUGAAGAGUUAAACGCCUUCAUGCUUGCAUAUUCGUGCACUUUGGGUGUACUUGCCCGUGUGGUUGGUUAACAUCAAUUUUGGUGGUCAUAAAAUGACUGGGGGAAUGUAGCUUCGAUCUUGUAUUGAAGUGUUAUAGCCUUCGGUAGAUGUGAUGAUCGAGAUUGAGGAUUGCAACGGAUACCCUUCGGGGCUACCUGUCUGGUCUCUGAUCGUUGCUCUGGUGCCGAAAGCUUGCUUACGGUUAUCAAAGUCGAUGGUCAAUAGGUUAGAACGGGUUAAAUUCGUUAAGGAUGUUGACGUAAUGGCUUUAAACGACCCGUCUUGAAACACGGACCAAGGAGUCUAACAUGUGUGCGAGUGUU
rnacentral:rRNA from 1 species